rnacentral:rRNA from 1 species
UAGUCCACACCGUAAACGGUGAGAGCUCGUCGUAGUGGGUAUUGACCCCUGCUGUGACCAAGUUAACGCAUGAAGCUCUCCGCCUGGGAAGUACGGUCGCAAGACUAAAACUCAAAGAAAUUGACGGGGGCCCGCACAAGCGGUGGAGCAUGUUGUUUAAUUCGAAGCAACGCGCAGAACCUUACCUGGAUUUGACAUCGACAGAACCUUUUGGAGACAGAAGGGUGCCUUCGGGCCUGGAAAACAGGUGCUGCAUGGCUGUCGUCAGCUCGUGUUCGUGAGAUGUUGGGUUAAGUCCCGUAACGAGCGCAACCCUUGUCCUUAGUUGCCAGCACGUGAUGGUGGGGACUCUAAGGAGACUGCCGGUGACAAACCGGAGGAAGGUGGGGACGACGUCAAGUCAUCAUGGCCCUUAUGGGUAGGGCUACACACGUGCUACAAUGGGCAGUACAGAGGGUUGCGAAGCCGCGAGGUGAAGCUAAUCUCAGAAAACUGUUCGUAGUCCGGAUUGCACU